CACUUAAUAGCAUAUGGUGUGCACUUGCUUCAGUUAAUGGCACGCAUGAAGCUGAGCAAGCAAGAGGCCCCGGUUCGAUUCCGGGUUGAGUGA